AUGAGAGACUGCUGUCGAGACGCUUGGCUGGCGGAUGACGCUGUGUGGGACGGUGAAAUUUACUUCACUUAUCCUGAAGCUGAUUCCCGAGUAAUGGACGAAUGGCACUACAAGAUCCAGAGAGGACAUUUUCACCCCCCAUUCUUUUUAAUAUAUCAUAGCUCUGUGAUAGAUCUUUUUUCUCUUUUCUUCUGCCCCCAUAUCACUUAUUGUAAUGACUUGGUCAGGAUGCUAAUUUUAUGUGAAUAUAACUUGCUCAAUCAUUGUUUGGCUUGGCUUGGCUUGGCUUCAAGUCUGGCGUUGCCAGAUGGAGUUGCGCACUUGAUACAUAGCCACAUCCUCGAAACCUUGAAGCAACAGCUUGCCAUUGGUGGUUGUGACUUGUGA
rnacentral:rRNA from 1 species